rnacentral:lncRNA from 1 species
UUAUAGGGUUAACUUCAUACAGUUUUUUGUAACCAUAUCGAAUAUCAAAUGUAUUCCUACAAAGUUCAACUUUUCAUAUUUAUUUCUGCAAAAAUCAAAUAAUAUUUAUAUUUGUUUCUUUGUUUUGUUAUCAUCAUAAAUAUGUCAUUCUAAAAUUCUAAUUGUUAAAAUUAUACGGAAAUGUCAUUUCAAAAAUCUCCAACGAUUAUCUUCUUGUUGAUUGUUAUCCAACCGUCUCUAGAGCAAGUGGCAAAGGACUUGUUGGUUGGUAUCCGAGACCCAAGAUCGAAUUCUAGUUGAUUCACAUUUCCAACUAAGUUUAUUCCUAAAUGAAAUAAACGAAGCGGGUAGCGUGCUAUCUAUCUCUCUCAAAAAAAAAAAAAAAACUCCAACGAUUAUCUUCUUUAUUUCUACCAUCAUAAGUGAUAUAAUAGUGGUUAAAAGGCUAAUUUGCAUCAUUCAAUAACCGGGAUUACAUAUUUUACCUAUUGUUAAUUAUAUUUUUUUAACGGAUUCUAACAGUAAAGAUAUACGUGGAAAUAUUAAAAUUUUCACGGUAAUAAAGAUGAAAGGUUGAAAUUUUUAGGAAUAUAUAUAUUAUUCAAACUGUAUGUAAUGUAAAUAAUCUAU